CCAAACCAAAAUUAUAUCGAUCCUCCAUUUCACAGGGAAAGUUAAACAAACUUUUAUCAUAUUUUAAAUGGCGAAUAAAAGAGCUCCUUAAGUCCAAUGGAUUUCAACGGAAACUUGGUAAUGAAGGGGGUCGUCUUGCUCCUGGGAUUUUUGGCUAUUCUCAGCGUUGCACAGGCCUGCAUCGCUUCCGGGCAGCCCUGCAAAGCCGACGCGAGUUGGGGGAAUUGUUGCAGCGGUUUUUGCAGUCAACAAGCCAGCCUUCCAUAUGGAAAUUGUCGCUAAUUUAUUGGCAAAAAUAUUUGCACUGAAAAAAUAUCAAUGUUAUGUAUGAAAAAGUUAUUAAUGAUUGUAUUACAUAAUUGGCCACUUACUUAAUUGUUCUAACAAUUUAAAUAGUACCAAAUUAGAUUUAUGAAUUUGUCAAUAAAUUUAUGAUAUAUAACUGGAAAUUAAAUAUUAAUAAACUCUCGUAUUUAUAAAAA